UUUAGUACAAAACUUUAGCCUGUCCUUCCCUUCCAAUGCACCCUUUUUCACCAUCAUAAUACCUCAAGUUUAGUUAAGCAUACAUUUUUUACUGACUAUGCACAUCAUUCGAAGUCUGUUUUAAGUAGUCUCUGAAUGUGGAAAGUACCUAUUUUGUAACUCUUCUCAUUGCUUCGUUUUUUGUUUUAUAUCUACUGUUUAAUAUGACAAAUGUUUCAAAAAUAUUUACAACACCUUUUUCUUCUCUCUUUCUAAAAAUGUUUAAAGAGAAAGUUCAAGUUUCUUUUGACACUAAAGAUCAUUAUGGGAUGGGCUCCUAACAGACCCGACCUAGAGAAAAAUCAGUCUGAGUUAUCGUUUGGUCAGAGGUUUACACAGAAGCCAGCUCUAAAUUACUUCUAACGAGAAGAGCAAGUCUCCUCUUUUCUCCUGUCAUUUAUCUUCUCUUGCCUUACUCUUUUCUUCUAUUUGCUUUUUCUUAUCUCUCUUUUUUUACUUUUCUCCCCUCUUGAUGCAAAGCUGUAUUUUCCUUUCUUUUUCUGUGCAUUUUCCCAUCCUAUUUCCCUUGUUUCUGUCUCUGCAUUAUCUUAAGAGAGCACAAAUCAUUUACAAGUUGAUCCACUCGGCCUGAAUCUUACCCACUUUGAUUCACAAACUUCUAUUUCUCCUCCUUUGAAUCCCCAGUUUGCUCCGUAUGUCCCUCAUGGAGCCUGUAACCAUCCGAAGGUCGGCCCAGGGUUAAGAUCAGGAAGCACCAGCUACCAGACAGGUAAGUCGCUGUUCCUAUGUGUGGGCUCUAGGGGGCGAUGCAGCGUAAGAUCCGUCUUGGGUACAGGAGGAGCAGCAAGCUGUCUUGCUCCCCACAGAGCUUUGAGGAGCUGGACCAAAAGCGUGCUCAACAGAAGGAAGAUACUGGUGCCGGGAAGCACCAGGGCCCCGAGGCAGGGCCAUUUCUAAAAGCCCUGUGCCGACAGGGGUGCUGGUCCCUCUUCAAGAGCCCACUCUCUGGGGUGGGGCCGUAUCUGCAACAGAGGUGUACUGAGCAGCCAUGGCCUCUGCACGCAUCUCGACGCUUGGGAUGCUCUUCAUAUUGAGUGGACUGAGAGCUCAGUCGGUGGCUCAGCCGGAGGAUCGGGUCACGGUCGCUGAAGGGAAUCCUCUGACUGUGAAAUGUACCUAUUCAGUCUCUGGACUCCCUUAUCUUUUUUGGUAUGUUCAAUAUCCCAACCAAGGCCUCCAGUUCCUUCUGAAAUACGUCACAGGGGACAACCUGGUUAAAGGCAGCUGUGGCUUCGAGGCUGAAUUUAAUAAGAGCCAAACCUCUUUCCACCUGAAGAAACCAUUUGCCCUCGUGAGCGACUCCGCCUUGUACUUCUGUGCUGUGAGAGACACAGUGAUGGGGGCUGCAGCGGGAGCAGAACACAAACUCUUGAGUCUAGUACAACCCAUUUCUUGAAGUCUUUGUUCCUUUACAUGAGAGUGAUGUGGUUCCAGGAUGUGUCACUUAUUAUAA